rnacentral:rRNA from 1 species
GGUUAAGCGACUAAGCGUACACGGUGGAUGCCCUGGCAGUCAGAGGCGAUGAAGGACGUGCUAAUCUGCGAAAAGCGUCGGUAAGGUGAUAUGAACCGUUAUAGCCGGCGAUGUCCGAAUGGGGAAACCCAGUGCAAUUCGUUG